rnacentral:rRNA from 1 species
UACAGAGGUCCCCAAGCGUUGUUCGGAUUCAUUGGGCGUAAAGGGUGCGUAGGCGGCGCGGUAAGUCGGGUGUGAAAUCUCGGAGCUUAACUCCGAAACUGCAUUCGAUACUGCCGUGCUUGAGGACUGGAGAGGAGACUGGAAUUUACGGUGUAGCGGUGAAAUGCGUAGAUAUCGUAAGGAAGACCAGUGGCGAAGGCGGGUCUCUGGACCGUUCCUGACGCUGAGGCACGAAGGCCAGGGGGAGCAAACGGG